CUCUCUCUCUCUCUCUUUACUCUGUCAUUUCUUUAUUGGUUUCCCGUACCUGUGGUUUUUGCCAAUUGGUUGGGCCAACGAGUUAAUAUUGUUUUUUUAUUAUUUUACCUCGAUUGCUUGCUCUGUUUUUUCAAAUGGAACGUACUGCCAUCCAUCCAUGAGACCAGAAUGCCAGUAGCAGGAAAUGUGUGGCUGUUUUCAGCACCGGGUUGUAGAAAAUGGGUCCUGACAUCAGAGAGCAUCAUUUUCAGGAGGAAGAAAGAUCGUGGGAAAGUCUCCUGGAAGUUUGCAUGCACAGAAAAUGGCUCAAUUCAAGCUAACAACCUGAUCGAUGCACAAGAAAUGAGUGAGACCCCUAAAGUAUCACCGGCUACCUUAACCGUGUUAGGUUUGCUCUCUUUUCGUUGCCCUACAACCUGGGACCGGCCGGCCCUGUAAGUUGUCAACAGUAAAAGUUUAAAGUGUACUAUCACGUUUUUAGCAACGUCAGGUAUGUUUGUUUUCAUUUUUCUAUCUGUUUCCUGCAUCAUCCGUGAGCGUGAAACCUAGAGUGUUCCAGCAAUCAUCACAAACAAACCGUACGAUGCAGGCAUCUUUUUGUUUGCAAUUGCAACUGUAGGAUUUAAUGGGCUGUUUAGGUGUCUGCAGAUUUGGGACGACGAAAGGGAGAGGGCAUCCUCCCUCCUGCUCGCUGUUUUAAGUACGAGGAGGCCCACUAAGACCCGUGAUUGUGAAGGACGACCAGCAGAAAGGUGGUCACUGUGUUCUCUGAUAUGUGACCCUUUUUUUUUAACACAAAGUCACAAUCUUUUCCUGUGUUAUCUAACACUUCUUCCAUAGUAUUACUUGUUCGGUCGGUCAUAAAUACUUUGACCCGGCCUGUUGA